CCUACGGGAGGCAGCAGUGGGGAAUAUUGCGCAAUGGGCGAAAGCCUGACGCAGCGACGCCGCGUGAGUGAUGAAGGUUUUCGGAUCGUAAACCUCUGUCAGCAGGGAAGAACGGUCACUGUGCUAAUCAGCAGGGAAUUGACGGUACCUGCACAGGAAGCACCGGCUAACUCCGUGCCAGCAGCCGCGGUAAUACGGAGGGUGCGAGCGUUAAUCGGAAUUACUGGGCGUAAAGCGCUCGUAGGCGUAAUGUCAAGUCAAGGGUGAAAUCCCGGCGCUAACCGUGGGAACUGCCUUUGAAACGGGCAAACAGGGGUGUGGGAGGGGAUAGUGGAAUUCCAGGUGUAGGAGUGAAAUCGGUAGAUAUAGGGAGGAA
rnacentral:rRNA from 1 species